rnacentral:rRNA from 1 species
CCUACGGGAGGCAGCAGUGAGGAAUAUUGGUCAAUGGGCUGGCGCCUGAACCAGCCAAGUCGCGUGAGGGCAGAAUGUACUGCGUAUCGUAAACCUCUUUUGUCAGGGAACAACGCCGGCGACUAGUCGCCGGAUUAGGGUACCUGAAGAAAAAGCAUCGGCUAACGCCGUGCCAGCAGGCGCGGUAAUACGGGGGAUGCGAGCGUUAUCCGGAUUUAUUUGGUUUAAGGGGUGCGGAGGCGGUAUGUUAAGUCAGCGGUCAAAGCCCGGGGCUCAACCCCGGCCCGCCGUUGAAACUGGCGGUCUCGAGUGGGAGAGAAGUAUGCGGAAUGCGUGGUGUAGCGGUGAAAUGCAUAGAUAUCGCGCAGAACUCCGAGUGCGAAGGCAGCAUGCCGGCUCCAAACUGACGCUGAGGCACGAAAGCGUGGGUAGCGAACAGGAUUAGAGACCCUGGUAGUC